AUUGAACGCUGGCGGCAUGCCUUACACAUGCAAGUCGAACGGUAACAGGUCUUCGGAUGCUGACGAGUGGCGAACGGGUGAGUAAUACAUCGGAACGUGCCCGAUCGUGGGGGAUAACGAGGCGAAAGCUUUGCUAAUACCGCAUACGAUCUACGGAUGAAAGCGGGGGAUCUUCGGACCUCGCGCGGACGGAGCGGCCGAUGGCAGUUUAGGUAGUUGGUGGGAUAAAAGCUUACCAAGCCGACGAUCUGUAGCUGGUCUGAGAGGAUGAUCAGCCACACUGGGACUGAGACACGGCCCAGACUCCUACGGGAGGCAGCAGUGGGGAAUUUUGGACAAUGGGCGAAAGCCUGAUCCAGCCAUGCCGCGUGCAGGAUGAAGGCCUUCGGGUUGUAAACUGCUUUUGUACGGAACGAAAAGCCUCUUUCUAAUAAAGAGGGGUCAUGACGGUACCGUAAGAAUAAGCACCGGCUAACUACGUG
rnacentral:rRNA from 1 species